AUUCCCGUUGAUCCUGCGGGAGGUUGCUGCUAUUAGGGUUCGAUUAAGCCAUGCAAGUCUUUCCGCAAGGAAGGCAGACUGCUCAGUAACACGUCGAUAAUCUGCCCUUAGGUCCGGAAUAACCUCGGGAAACUGAGGAUAAUACCGGAUAGGGAAACCUAACUGGAAGGUGGGUUUCUUUAAAAGUAAUGCCUAAGGAUGAGUCGGCGGCGGAUUAGGUUGUUGGCGAGGUAAUGGCUCACCAAGCCGAAGAUCCGUAGGGGCCUUGAGAGAGGUAGCCCCGAGA
rnacentral:rRNA from 1 species